rnacentral:rRNA from 1 species
UACGGAGGGGGCUAGCGUUGUUCGGAAUUACUGGGCGUAAAGCGCGCGUCGGCGGCCCUGCAAGUCGGGGGUGAAAGCCCGAGGCUCAACCUCGGAACUGCCUUCGAUACUGCGGGUCUCGAGUCCGGGAGAGGUGAGUGGAAUUCCUAGUGUAGAGGUGAAAUUCGUAGAUAUUAGGAAGAACACCAGUGGCGAAGGCGGCUCACUGGCCCGGUACUGACGCUGAGGCGCGAAAGCGUGGGGAGCAAACAGG